GUGAAAUGUUAGAGCUGGCUUUUAGCUGCAGCCCUGCCUUCUCCAAGGUCAUCCUUUGUGACCUCUACAGAAUUUUACUUCGGACGACUCAGUUUCAGGGAUUUCAUACCUCUUUAUUGUAAACCCAGCAGUGAGAGGCACAUCUGAUUUCCUUGAAAAGAGAAACCAAGACACUGAGUCGACUCAGCUGACUGAACAUCCCUCCAGCUAAAAUGGCAGUGGAUCUAAGACUGGGAAAUGACUGCCUUUGAGGUUCCUCUGGAGAGGACAGAAAUAUAGAAGGACAGAAAAAGGACAGGACUGACAGGAGGACAGGACAGGACACAGCUGGAC
ensembl:lncRNA